UUUCUCCAAUUCUAUUUGUACCUGCCUCUGUGGACCCUCCAGAUGUCUCCCAACGACUUAUGGGUGUUCCCCUAAAUUCCCAGAAGAGCUCACAGUCCGUUGUCUCGGCCACCGUGCCGCCGCGUGGUUUCCUCUCAUUCCCCCAGCUGCCGAGGAUCACAGGCCCUCUGGUGCUGCCUGUGGGUGUGCGUGUAGGCUGCUGAUGAAUGUGUGGUUCAGAGGAUGCAGCCUCUGCCACGCCGAGGCCAGCUGGGGUCACUCAGCUGCACCCUGUGGCCGGAAACGUCCCCGGACGCUGCUGGUGUGCCGGAGCGCCAGCCCUGCCAAGGUUUCACUCCCUACCGGGAUUUCUCAAAUCUGUUCUGGCUUCAUCUCCCAUCGGGGAAAAAAGGUACCCCCUCGGAGGCAAGAGAGGCAGGACCAGGAGGAAGAGGGGACCUCACCGGGCAAGGGGGACCGCACUUGCCGGCUGUUCCCCUUCUCACUCGCUACCCAGGGUAUUUUUAUCAGAAGAAACGGAGAGAUUCAGCUCCAUUGAAAAUUCAGUGAACACCGUCAAGUCCCAAAUGUACAACUAAUGGAAGCCCAAUAUCUUCCCCAGGUAUUUCUUAGAAUCCUAAGGGAAUGCUUGUGUUUCACAAAUCUAGCCUUAAGUAUCUUGCUCUGGAUUGUUUACUCAUUUCAGGGUUUCGCUGAGAGUAUGUGAAGAUUCUUGUCAUAACUGUCUGGCUAAAAAAAUGCUUAACAAAACAUUUCCUCUCAGAACAUAGGAAGCGUGUCUUCCAAGGAGGGGGGGAUAGGUUUUUCACUUUGGUUUAUAAAAGUUUCUUAAAAAUUACUAAAAAAAAAUUUCAGAUUUUCUAACUUUGUGUACAUUGACCAUAUAUGUGAAAAUGGGAACAAUUGGGUUCUACUCGUCUGCUUUUGUCCAGAACUUCUCUAACUAUAUAAAGUGAAUAUACACUGGUAUACCUAGGUGAUAUUUUAGGUAAUUGUGAUAGGGAAAAUGACUAUAUAUUUAUCCAUCCAGUGCUUUUGUUCAAAGAUGUAGAUGCAAUUUUUAGACACAGUAUAAACAUCUACCAGAGAGCUUUUCAAGCAUCAUAUUUCAAAAAUGUGAAGUUAUUCCUAUUCUUUUCCUAUAAAAUAUUAUAUUUUGGGAGGAAUACAAGUUAUCUAUAUAAUGGAUGGAAAUGAAGGUAAAGAAGAACUGUGACUUAAAAUGAAAGGUGCACAGACUCCUGGAGUUCAGGGAGAUCUUAGAGAUUAUCAAACUAUUUGGAUUUAAGCCUGCUUGAGAAUCUAAAGUCCUGGAUCUUCUUCCCAGAAAAAUACAUAUGCUCUUGUGUGUGCACACAUUCAUACCACCACCACCAGAAUUUCAGAGUUCUUUGAUCCCAUCCAGACCAAUAAUAUUUUCCAAUGUAAGGGAGAAAUCUGGAUCUAGUCUGUCCAUUUUCUUUUCUUUUCUUCAAAAAGUUACUGAGGCAAGGUGAUAUACUCAAGUAUUAAUAGGUCUAGGAUUACAAGUAAUAACUUUUUCCCUUAACAGUCUGCCACCCAUGUCUUCCCUCAAGU
rnacentral:lncRNA from 1 species